CGGCGGCGCGGAUUGAAUGAGCCCGCCGAGCCCGGGCCGCCGUCGGGAGCAGCGCAGGCCGCGAGCCGCCGCCACCAUGGCCACGCCGCUGCCCGGCCGCGCGGGCGGGCCCGCCACGCCGCUGUCGCCCACGCGCCUGUCGCGGCUGCAGGAGAAGGAGGAGCUGCGCGAGCUCAACGACCGCCUGGCGCACUACAUCGACCGCGUCCGCGCGCUGGAGCUGGAGAACGACCGGCUCCUGCUCAAGAUCUCAGAGAAGGAGGAGGUGACCACGCGCGAGUGAGUGGCAUCAAGGCGCUGUACGAGUCGGAGCUGGCCGAUGCCCGGAGAGUCCUGGAUGAGACGGCUCGAGAGCGUGCCCGGCUGCAGAUAGAGAUUGGGAAGCUGAGGGCAGAGUUGGACGAGGUCAACAAGACGCCAAGAAGAGGGAGGGCGAGCUUACGGUGGCCCAGGGCCGUGUGAAGGACCUGGAGUCCCUGUUCCACCGGAGCGAGGUGGAGCUGGCAGCUGCCCUCAGCGACAAGCGCGGCCUGGAGAGUGACGUGGCUGAGCUGCGGGCCCAGCUGGCCAAGCCGAGGACGGUCAUGCAGUGGCCAAAAAGCAGCUGGAGAAGGAGACGCUGAUGCGUGUGGACCUGGAGAACCGCUGCCAGAGCCUGCAGGAGGAGCUGGACUUCCGGAAGAGUGUGUUCGAGGAGAGGUGCGGGAGACGCGGCGGCGGCACGAGCGGCGCCUGGUGGAGGUGGACAGCAGCCGGCAGCAGGAGUACGACUUCAAGAUGGCACAGGCGCUGGAGGAGCUGCGGAGCCAGCACGACGAGCAAGUGCGGCUCUACAAGCUGGAGCUGGAGCAGACCUACCAGGCCAACUGGACAGCGCCAAGCUGAGCUCUGACCAGAACGACAAGGCGGCCAGUGCGGCUCGCGAGGAGCUGAAGGAGGCCCGCAUGCGCCUGGAGUCCCUCAGCUACCAGCUCUCCGGCCUCCAGAAGCAGCCAGUGCCGCUGAAGAUCGCAUUCGGGAGCUGGAGGAGGCCAUGGCCGGGGAGCGGGACAAGUUCCGGAAGAUGCUGGACGCCAAGGAGCAGGAGAUGACGGAGAUGCGGGACGUGAUGCAGCAGCAGCUGGCCGAGUACCAGGAGCUGCUGGACGUGAAGCUGGCCCUGGACAUGGAGAUCAACGCCUACCGGAAGCUCCUGGAGGGCGAGGAGGAGAGCUGAAGCUGUCCCCCAGCCCAUCCUCGCGCGUCACCGUCUCACGAGCCACCUCGAGCAGCAGCGGCAGCUUGUCCGCCACCGGGCGCCUGGGCCGCAGUAAGCGGAAGCGGCUGGAGGUGGAGGAGCCCUUGGGCAGCGGCCCAAGCGUCCUGGGCACGGGCACGGGUGGCAGCGGUGGCUUCCACCUGGCCCAGCAGGCCUCGGCCUCGGGUAGCGUCAGCAUCGAGGAGAUCGACCUGGAGGGCAAGUUUGUGCAGCUCAAGAACAACUCGGACAAGAUCAGUCUCUGGGGAACUGGAGAAUCAAGAGGCAGGUCUUGGAGGGGGAGGAGAUCGCCUACAAGUUCACGCCCAAGUACAUCCUGCGCGCCGGCCAGAUGGUCACGUGUGGGCAGCUGGUGCGGGGGUGGCCCACAGCCCCCCCUCGACGCUGGUGUGGAAGGGCCAGAGCAGCUGGGGCACGGGCGAGAGCUUCCGCACCGUCCUGGUUAACGCGGAUGGCGAGAAGUGGCCAUGAGGACUGUGAAGAAGUCCUCGGUGAUGCGUGAGAAUGAGAAUGGGGAGGAAGAGGAGGAGGAAGCCGAGUUUGGCGAGGAGGAUCUUUUCCAC
rnacentral:lncRNA from 1 species